rnacentral:lncRNA from 1 species
CUUUGAUGCUUAAGCUUUCACAAAAUCUACUACCUCUUAAAAGAGGGGCUUUGAUUCUACUAUUCAUUUAUGUCACAUAGCUUUUCACACUGUAUUCAACUUAUCCGGUUUUGCUACAGUAAUAUAUUCCUGUGACACGCUUUCUUCUCUGGACCACACAUAUGCUUGCGUUUGAGCCCCAUUUUAGUUCAUUUUUCUACAUUUUCCAACAUUUUUGAACGCUUGUCUUUGCCGGUCAAUAUUCAAUUGGAAGGUUGCUUGCAUACAAUUGGCCCGUGGGACCCAGCAGCCUACAACUAUUGACUGCAGAAAAUGGAGUAGGGAGGCUAUGAACAUUGCCUUUGCCACAGUAAGAGGGAACGCUUAUGUUGGAUGGACCUAAUGAAUUUUUUGGAAAUUUUGAAGCUUCAGGAACUCGCAGAAGAGAUAAUGAGGUCAUAGCAUUAAUUCAUCACCACUCAAUUAUUUUAUACAAUCAUUUCAUAAACGACU